rnacentral:lncRNA from 1 species
GGGCCCACACCCUAAGAAGCCAUUUUUUUCAAAUUCCACCCAAUAGCUCAAAAUAAGUCUAGAAGUCUUAAACCCAGACCAAGGGCCUUCUUAGCCUAAAAUCAACAUUCUAAAGCUAUUAAGACUAUCAGAAAUAGUAUCCAAGGAGAUUUACCCAAGGUUUUGUCUUGAGACUUGUUUCUUAACUUUAGAAGCUCCAAAAUAACAAAAUGGCUCUAAAAACCAACCAAACUAUCCGG